ACGUUUGUAAUUGAAAUUUCCAGGCGUGUGAAAAGUUUUGUGGGAGCGGCGGAUAUUAACCGAUUUUUCUAUGUCAGCUGUAGCAUGAGCAGCCUCCGUCGCACUUGAACCCCUAAUGCGCCACGUGACCUUUUGCUUUGUUUAAGAUUUCUGGUUUGGGCGACUUGAAUGGUGCUAGCUUAGUGCGUCUUCGAAGCUUCAAUGUUUGCUCCUUACAACCUGCAGCUGCUAAUUGACUUCAUUGCUCGGGUUAAGUAAGCGGCGAGCUGAGUUAGGAAUGCACUUCCUAAUGAAGCUCGUGUCAUGCGAGCGCGGCACCUUUCUUUGCUUGCACACAGCUGUUGUAGUGGAAGGGGCACUAAAGUGGCAUGGUAUAUUAAGUUGCAUUGCGAAAUUGCGCCUACUCGUACCGUGUGAGGCUUGGCAAACUAGACGCAAGAAUACGUUUCUACGGUACAAAAUCGCAUGCUGGGGAAGAAAAAAGUAAGCUUGCGGAUAGAGGCAUCGGAGGACUACGGCCCUCGUCUAGAGGCGUCAGAGGACUACGGCCCUCGAUGUUUGGAAUCAGUGUUCACCUUUAAUUUCGUGCACAAGUUCCCGCACCAGCUCGCUGUAACGUCAAGGAUUUUGAGUGUCUGCUCGGCUAUAGUUUAUCGGUAAAGGACUGCGCUUCAUUUUAAAGGAGCCAGACAGCCUAGCGAGUUUCGAGAACUCGUUGGUGCUGCUGCUUGCACUAUUAGCUCCCAUUUUUUUUGCAUUAAUUUUAAUUUGUGCCUCGUUUCUAUGUGCACGGCAAUCGUAGGAUGUUGCAAGCAUGGAUGGGAAGGCAACGUAGUAGCGGUAGUAUGUUCUGUUCGCACUGGCACUGCUUAUUACGGGAUUGCUAGCGUUCACCGCUUUCGUUCCUUUCACACCGAACGAAUCGGCAUCUUUGCUAGCCUCGCUCACCUAAAGUAGGCAAAAAAAAGUUGCGAUCCAGAGGAUAACCUCGAGUCUAGCGUGUACGCUGGCUCCUCGCCGCUGACAGCUCUUCGGUGGCAUGAUGCCACCGCCUUGAAAAUGUACAGUGGAGGUCUCUAAUGCAAAAAUCGACAGUGGCGGCGCCCUUCCGGUUGCAUCGCCAUGUAAUGUUCCGCGUGUUCAAAUUGCCUGCUUCAGGAGUUGCCGAUUGCUUCAACAGCUUCGAGAGUAGCAGAGCUUGUCGGAUUACCAGCGAGCAAGUGAUGACAGUGAUAGUCUAUUUUCAACCAAAGCGACAAUCAUGGCCUAGUUAAUAUGAAAAGCGAGAACAAGAAUCUAGCGCUAUCGCCUAAAAUUGUAGAACAAGAGCGGCUGCGUGGCCUGAUACUACAGCGGUGUGGUGGACACCACCGCUUUAUGCACGGGCAUUGCUGUAACCAGUUGGCGGUGAUUGGCCGUGUGCGCGGUGUACUCGUCAGUUCAUUAAUACAUGCCGCUGCAAGCAAUGCGCGGGCACUCGUAACCGUGCAGGAAAUGACCUCAGCUUGCACGCGCAUGUUUCUCGGCGACGUGGCCAUUUUUCCGUUUUCGGGAACUUCUGACUUAAUGCCCAUUAGAUCACCGCGGGGAAACGAGUCCGGCUAACAGCGCAACUCGACAUCGUUUGCGUGAACUCGGCGUACGAGAUAGAGGAGACCUGCGUGAAAACGACGCAGUCUGGUUGCUGGUUGCUGGCAGUGUCAGCCGCCGGCCCAACGCGGCCGCUUUUACGUGUAUUUGUUGAUCCAACCCAGUUUCCGGCCUACUUUAAGCGCCAACUACACCACGGAGUGCAUCCGGUUGAAAUGCAUGCAUUGCCGUGUUCCUACUCCACCUGGCCGCUAACGCAGGUUACAAUGGAGACCGAGAAUGUAAUAACCAUGACAUUUCUAGCAAAACAGUAUAGGCGCUCAUUAGGUCAGCAGUGGCGCGUGCUCUUAUUCAUCACACUUGGUUUUCUUGCUUGCUGCGAACACAAAUCAAGUGCGACGAAAGAGACGCUAAAAGGUAAAAAAUGUAUUGGGAGUAGCGGGCAUAAGAUUACCCCUCAACCAGGAUGGUAUAGGAGGAGGGGUAUACGGGUAGGAACGCUUUCCUUAAUGAACGGGUGCCGCGGGUCAGAUGAAAAGAGCACCUGUCAAGUCCUACGCCAACGCUUUCAUUCAGCAAAAUUAAAGCUCGUCACAUACAUUUUUACCUGUUAAAUUGUUGAUUUGCAAAAAAGUACGCUUUUGUAAGUUAUGCACAAUGUGCACGUUAAAGGAACCCCAGUUUAACGUUAGCGUAAUAGCGGGGUCAAGGGAAAUAGCGUACGCAAACGAACUUUGCAGAAAGAGUUUUAGUAUAGUGUGGUAGCGUAGUUUACGUGCAGGUCGCUAUUCCAUUACGCUUUAAAUUUCGCAUACAUAGGGCACCUAAGUAAUUCUGUCUGCGUCCGGAAAGUGCGAUAGGCAGCGCAAUGGAAGCCAGGAGCGCGUUGUAUUUUUACUUCCAUGUCCGCCGAUCUGCCGCGAAACAGACAAGCUUUCUACCGUAGCCUCCGAAGUCUUCCCAUCUCAGAGGCCAUAUGCCAUCGUCGCGCCUAUCUUCCAUGUUCCCUUGCGUAAGGGAACAUGGCUUAACGAGGUGCCGCCCUUUUCAUAAGUUUGCAUCCAGCACUGUUCAACCCAUUCAUUCUUAACUGAUAGUUGAAUUUAUUGUAAAUAUUUCGGUGCUGUCUAUAGGUUUAACGUGAGAGGCUGUGCCAGUCUACUCAGCUCCAUGAGGGUAGCUAUAUGGUCCUGUUGAUACACCAUCUCGAAUAGUAUGGUAUUCCAGACAGCGGAAUUGACAUACGCGCCAUGUUUUAAACAUAACGAAGUUUUUUUUUUUUUGACAAACCAGACAAGUUAAAGUUAGUGUUACACUGAAUGAGCUGGGUUAUGAAAUGCGAUAAUUGUGUGAAAUUUGAGCAAGAACAGAGCAGCGGUAAGCGCCAAAAGAACUUUUUAGUAAGAUAUUGAAGCUAAAUGCAGGAAUCCUUUAAAACAGGUUGUCGUUCCGACAACUGUCGUCUGUCUUAAAGCUCGCGCCACUUUGUCGGUAGAUGCAAAGCGCUUUUACUGUGUAUGAAUGCAGAUUCACACACAAUUUUGUAAUUGUUGCAUUAUAUACAAGAGGUAAUGCAACAGAAUGCCUAUUGAUAUAUAAAAAACAAACCUGAUACGUUUACUAUAAACGAGAAAAAUAUUGCAGACGAUAUAUACAUAAACGAUGAGCGAACCUGUUCACGAGUUAAGCCUUAGAUACAUGUAGCGUUCCCGAUAAUAUAUAGGUUCAUGUCCGAGAUUAUACUGUAUGGUAUACUGCUGUAUGCAAUUGUUCCUAGUCUGAGCAAGGUACGGGAAAUUUGGUCAAGAUUCUACGUGAAUAAUGUAACGUAUUUAAUAUCGAGGAGUAAGACUCGCAAAAGGCAUCCCAGUGCUUUAAAAUGCGCCUUUGUAACGUAGAACGGCCACGGUACUGUUUCUGCCGCAUAACGGCGGUGAAGAUGUAUGCGCAAUUCGCUUCUAAACUUGUGGGCAGCUGUAAGUUGCCUCAGAACAUGGCUCGUAAAGGCUCAUUCAUACUAGGCCGACACGACACCGAAUUUGGUCUGCCGACUGUUAGCGGCGACAGCUUUCCUUCCUAUUAAACCGUUGGCCACAGCGUUUUCCGUCCUGUAAACUGCUGUCGCCAACAGUCGGCAGAAUAAAAUCGGUGUCGUGUCGGCCUAGUGUGAAUGAGCCUUAAGUGUUCGAAUGUGUGGUCAUCGUUUCGUCCUUGAACUUCACUGGUUUCUAGUUAUAAAACGAGAAGGGAACUUCGCUAAGGCGAAAAGUUAACCCUAAAGAUUGCGCAGGGUUAGUACAACUGCAUCUGUGCUACAUUUGCGACUUGCUGCCAAAACCGUAAAGAUGCCACGUAUUGCGCCCGUGCUGCUCCAAAACACUGAACACCACCAACAAGUGUCUGUGAUAAGGCCAGAUUUAGAGCGAAGUUGCAGCUUGGUAAAUAGCCUUGGUAGGGUGUUGAACCGAAAACCGCACAGGAACCGCAGUUUUGGACUGAACUCGGAACCGCAAUUUUCGGAACGGGCCUGAACAGCAAAAAAUAACGGUUCCUGGGUUGGUACGAAACAGUUCAAGCCAUAUAAGGCGACAACGGGUGCUCGAUUUUGCACGAUUCUUCAAUAGCUACUUCAAUCGGCACACCCUACUAGCAGGUGGGACAGACGAUGGGUAUUGGCUAGCCACCACAGACAGCAGAGACGCUUGCACUUCUGAAGUCAGCCAUGCCAUUGUGUUCCACGGCCGAAGGAUUGCUUCAGGGGCUCCGCGGAAUCGUUUUUGGUGACGCUCCCAAUUUGGCCGUUAAGGUCAACU